rnacentral:lncRNA from 1 species
AGGGAGUAUUUAUUUGACAUCAAAGUACGCAUCGGAAAAAUAAUGUUUUAAUUCAUCUUAAAAUUACUUAUUUUGUUGAUAUUUAUUUAAAGGAGUACCUCACAUAAACAGCUUUUGAAACCUCUACCUCAAUUUUUUUUCUGCUGUCUAGUUUCCAUGACGAAACUAAAUUUUUGUGGGUAAAAUGUAAGACCUAAAAAUUUUAAUUUAACACUAAUAGAUAACUAUUUUAUUUACGUAUAUGCUUUAACUUCAUCUUUUAUAAAGUGAUUUUCUUACCCUACGAUUUUAUUUAGUGACGAACUCUAUCCUAAAUAUCUUUUCAACCUUUUAGUUUUGAGGAUGAAACUAUUAUAUGGUGUCAUAAUGUAAUUCUUAUGAUUUUCUUGAUUUAUUUUUUAUUUAUCAAUCUAUUUUAUGUGUAGAAAAUUUAAGAAAAUGGUAACACAUUCUUUCUUUAAUUAAUAUAAAUUAGAAAUCUUAGUUUUAUUUAUCUUAAUUAAUUGAUCAAUUGGUGUCACUAUGAUACGAUGAUUAUUUUUGCUUACUUUAUUUCCUUGUCAUUUACUAAUUUAUGUUCAUUAUUUGAUGAUUGAUUUUAUAUUAAUUGUUAGAGGAUUUAUUUUAAAUGUCUAUUUAUAUAUAAUAACUAACUCACAAUUUCAUAGAGCAAUGAUAGGAAAGUUGCAAUUUGAAUUUGAAUUUAAAACUGAAUUAACUCCUAUCUUGUCUUUUGCAACAGAAUCCUAGAUUUUCCUGAUUUUGAAUUUUAAUCUUAUUUCAAACUUAUCUAAACAACUUGAAUGAGUAUUUUACUUAACAUUUAACAAACUUACCUCUGAGGUACUAUAUGAACAUUAUUAGAGUAACAUUCCAUGAUAAAAAUAUAGGAAGAUUUAAGAGCAACACUAAAAUAUUCACACUUUUCUCAUUCAGAUUCGAUUCUGUUUGUUGCUAAGCCACCGUAGAAACAAGGGCACAAUAAAUCUUUAUCCUAGGAAGUAAAGUGGCCAAAAUAAGGGUUUUUUCUCCGUAUACUCGUGCAUUUUGGGUUUAUGUUAUGGAUUAAUAAUUAAAACUUAAUUGUUAAGAAAAAAUGAGAAAGAACUAUUUUUUAUAUCAUUUUAUGCUAUUUUAAUAUAUUGUGAGUUAUGUGUGGGGUUGAUUGUAUAAUUAAUUCAAUGAUUUUGGUGUUUGGUUGAUUGUAGAUUUGAAUAUUCUGUUGGUUUUUUAUAAAAUCAUGAAUUGGUGUAGUUUUGAAAGAGUUUUAAAUUUUAUGAUUUUAAAAGAAACUGUGUAUAUUGUGCAUAUCGAUCAUGGUAUAUAGUUGUUGUCAUGGGUAUUAAAUGGGCGAUUUGUUACUAUGUGUCAAUUGGAGCGAUUUUAUUAGUAAUUGUUAAAUAGAGCGAUUUGUUACAAGUGGAAAAUGGGGUGAUUAAAUUAUUAUGCUAAUCUGGGCGAUAUCCAGACAAUGGUUUAGUUGCAUUUCAAUCAUUAUUAAUUUGUAUAAAUUGUUAUUAAAAAAAGUUUCUUGCAUCAAAUUUAUUUAUUUUAACAUACGCUUAAUUGAAAUUUAUUUAUUUAAAAAGUUUCAAGUUUAUUAUAUUAAUAUAUACUUUCUGAUCAGCACGAUUCAAUUUUAAUAAGCAAACUGACCCUUGUUGCAGGUAUAAAAUUUGACAGAUGAUUUUGAUGUGUUGCUUGUACGCGCAGAGAUAAAACAAGGAGUGCUUUUAUUAGUUUGUUGUAAUCUAAAUAAGGAAUCUUAACAAUUUUAUAACUAUUAUUUGUAAUUCCAAUUCCAAUCAAAGAAAAAAAACUGUUGCA